ensembl:lncRNA
GGUAAUAUGAGAAGGAGCUCUGACAUUCCAUCUCUGACAUAGAGCCUGUAUUCACCUCCCACUGAAGAGUGAUUUCACCACCUCUUGGGCAGCCUGUUCCAAUGCAUCACCACUGUUUCAGAGAAGAAAUUUUAGAAUAGCCAACCUGAACUUUCCCUGGCUCAACUUGAGGCCAUUACCUCUCGUCCUAUCGCUGUUACCUGGGAGAAGAGGCUGACAACCUCUUCACUAUAACUUCCUUUCUCGUGAUUGUAGAGACCGAUGAGGUCUCCCCUAAGCCUCCUCUUCUCCAGACUGAACAGUUCCAGUUCUCUCAGCUGCUCUUCAUGAAACCUGUAUUUUAAGAAAAUCAUGGAAGUCCUUUCCUGUCUGCUAUGUGUCUAUGUGUCUCCUACAGUCUGAAGUCACAGUAAGGAUUUAAGACCUGCUACGUCAUCCCAAAUAAGGAGAUACCUGAAACUUAGCUUGUAAGAAUUGUAUGGCCAUUACUCUUAUAGAAGUUUAAGAAAGACUCUGCUUUUACCUCAUUUGUACACACUGAAAACAUGAACUUAGACAACAAUUUCUUUAAUGAAUCAGACUGAGAUUUUAGAAAUCAUUAUACAUAAAAAUAUGCAUAAAUUCAUUAUAAAUACCUACUAGAAAAUCCUCAAGUGGAAUUGCAAGAGCAGCUUACAUGAACGUCAUAAAAAACAUGAGUCCUGUUGGAAAUUAUUAGUCCACGUAUGACCUUUGAUAAAUGAAAACUCCCAUUUCUUCUUCCCUUGCAUAUACCAAAAACCUCUCAAUAUGUAAAACUGAGACCAACUUCUCUGUACAGUUUCUAUCUCAAUCUACUUAGUGACUUAAGUGAAACUGACAUUGUCAUAAUCCAUGCCAGACUAGUCUUUUGGAUUAUUUUCACUCAGAAAAACAAGUAGGAUCCUCUAAAAUUUUAUUUUUGUACUUUUUUAUUCUCAGAAAUUAGAGAAGAAUAUUAUAUAGAAUAAUAUACAGUGUGUAGUGAAAAGUUCCAUAGGAUAAGAUAAUAAUUGUAAGGAAGCAACAGCCUUGGAAUUUACAUCCAAGCACCUGCCACUAACAAGCCACUUCUAAACAAAGCUAUUACAUCAACAGAAUUUCACUAGUGUAAAGCUUGAUCAAUGAACUUGUAAAUCAGCCUACCUAAUCUCACAUAUAUUGGAGUACUUGUACAAUGUUUAUUGAUACAGUACCAGAUUACCUAAUCAGGCAAAUCUAGUUUAAUGAGGAGUUUUAUAUUAGAGUAUGCCACUCAAGAAAAAAUAUUUAAUGGAAGACUUAAUUAAUUUAUCCAGAUAUAGUUUAUUGCCAACAACAGAAACCAAAUGCAAAUAGUGUUCUUGUAAAUCACUGUGUAUUCAUUUUGAAAAAUAAAGUGUCUUUUUUACUCAUUGCCAUACUCUUUAAGCCUACCAAGAUGACUCAGCAAUUCAUUUUGCAUCUUUCUGUUGAUGUGCAAUAUCACUUUUUUUUGUACCUUCUGACAGAAAUAGUCUUCAGGAUGUUUGAUGCUCUAAUGGGGGCAGAUUUGAUUAAUGGCUUUAUCAGUUGUAACCACCACUCUUGUCUUGAAUUAGGGAUGUUUUAGGAUUCCUCAGCAUUUGUAAGUCAAGCUUUAUAACAAGGGUGCGUCAGGCUGCAGAAUCAGUCAAAAAAUAUUUUUUUCCCAAUGAUAAAGAGGCAAAAAUUGUAUGAUUAAUUGUUAAUGGAACUUAACCAACUUCAAAGAUUAACUCUGUUUAUAAAAGUUGGUGGAAAAUAUUUUAUCUUAGCAAAGUCACUAACUCAACUCUGCAGGGCAAUAAGGCUACCCGUCCAUCUGUUAUGGAAUAGUCACUGACAUGAGU